AUACGUAGGGGGCGAGCGUUGUCCGGAAUGAUUGGGCGUAAAGGGCGCGUAGGCGGCCCGGUAAGUCUGGAGUGAAAGUCCUGUUUUUAAGAUGGGAAUUGCUUUGGAUACUGUCGGGCUUGAGUGCAGGAGAGGUAAGUGGAAUUCCCAGUGUAGCGGUGAAAUGCGUAGAGAUUGGGAGGAACACCAGUGGCGAAGGCGGGUAACUGGACUGCAAAUGACGCUGAGGCGCGAAAGUGUGGGGAGCAAACAGGAUUAGAUACCCUGGUAGUCCACACUGUAAACGAUGAAUGCUAGGUGUAAGAGGUAUCGACCCCUUUUGUGCCGGAGUCAACACAAUAAGCAUUCCGCCUGGGGAGUACGGCCGCAAGGUUGAAACUCAAAGGAAUUGACGGGG
rnacentral:rRNA from 1 species